UUACUCCGGAUGACCUCAUUAUUUUUCGUUACAGCGAUCAGCUAGAAAAAUGCACUUUUCAUGAAUAACGAACACGUCUCUCCCUCUAUUUGUCUUCCUUAGCUCCGAUGGUGCAGAAAAGUGAGGUGUCAACCCCCAUUUUAUUUCAGAAUUAUGGAUAUUCAUGAAACUGCAAGAAAAGGCUUCCAACAGGGGUCAGCAUAUGAUGCGUACAGACCAAGCUAUUCUGAUGAGACUAUAGACUUUGUAUUAGAUGUGGUAAGAGAAGUGGAAAUACUAUCUCAGCAAGAAAAUAAUAUCAAGUAUGAUAUAGUUGAACUUGGAGCGGGAACUGGUAAAUUUAGUAGAAAACUAUUAAGUAAAAUAAAGCAAGAGAGGUUUCUGGCUACUGAGCCAUUAGAGGGAUUUCUGGAAACUUUGAAGGCACAAAGCCCUGGUGUGGAAUCCCUACAGUGUGCUGCAAAUGAUAUCCCAUUGCCAGAUAAGUCUGUGAAGGUUUGUAAUUCACUGAAUGAUAUUCUUAUUUUAAAGCGCACACGCGCGUUAAUGUGAUCGUAUAUUGUCAUCACCGCCGCUGCCCGCCCGUACAUGCGUGUACUCAGUCUACAGAACUGAAUUAUUUACGGAUUGUCAUUAAAGUAGCUAAGUCUCUAACUCAAUAUCAUCCAAAAUCUUCAACAUUGAAAACACGAUUUAUUUGUCAAAUUAAAUCAACAUUCAUGUUGUGAUCUUACCGGGAAAAGAUGGGCUUUUGGUAUCCAAUAUUUAAGACAAAAUAAACAUUUUACCAUUGGUACACGAAUCGUGUACCAUAAUGCGCUUCAGCCCCAGUUGUAUCAAGAGACUCGAGGGACGAGGCUAGACACAUUGCACCAAAUCAAACAGCGUAUGUAGACUGGAAUAACCAGACGCUAGAAAUUUGCACUCGCUUGAGACUGCUGGCUUAUUUCGCCGAACAUAACUGAUUUGAAAUUGGAGUAAAAACGGAAACCAUUGAAUGUAAAUCAGUUUAUAUACAUUCAUAUUACAGUAUUAUAAAUUUGCUGAAAUAGGUAUGACCCC